UUUGGGUGCGGCCCCGGUCUAAGUUCCUUGGAACAGGACGUCAUAGAGGGUGAGAAUCCCGUAUGUGAUCGGUGGCUUGCGCCCGUGUAAAGCUCUUUCGACGAGUCGGGUUGUUUGGGAAUGCAGCUCUAAAUGGGUGGUAAAUUUCAUCUAAAGCUAAAUAUUGGCCAGAGACCGAUAGCGCACAAGUAGAGUGAUCGAAAGAUGAAAAGCACUUUGGAAAGAGAGUUAAACAGUACGUGAAAUUGUUGAAAGGGAAGCGCUUGCAACCAGACUUGCGCGGGGUUGAUCAUCCGGGGUUCUCCCCGGUGCACUCGGCCUCGCUCAGGCCAGCAUCGGUUUUGGUGGUUGGAUAAAGGCCUUGGGAAUGUGACUUCUUUCGGGGAGUGUUAUAGCCCUCGGUGCAAUGCAGCCUACCGGGACCGAGGACCGCGCUUCGGCUAGGAUGCUGGCGUAAUGGUUGUAAGCGACCCGUCUUGAAACACGGACCAAGGAGUCUAACAUCUAUGCGAGUGUUUGGGUGUCAAACCCAUACGCGUAAUGAAAGUGAACGGAGGUGAGAACCCUUAAGGGUGCAUCAUCGACCGAUCCUGAUGUCUUCGGAUGGAUUUGAGUAAGAGCAUAGCUGUUGGGACCCGAAAGAUGGUGAACUAUGCCUGAAUAGGGUGAAGCCAGAGGAAACUCUGGUGGAGGCUCGCAGCGGUUCUGACGUGCAAAUCGAUCGUCAAAUUUGGGCAUAGG
rnacentral:rRNA from 1 species